GCAAUGCUGAGUGCCCCUGAGUCAUGUUCUAAUGGAUGGAGGCAGAACCAGUCGUCCUGGUUGGGAGAUUUUCUCUGGCAACAACAGCUAUGUGGAGAAGGCAAAUGGCUGCGUCCAUUCAAGAUUAGGAACAUAAGCCCUGCCCAAAUGGGGAGAACCACCUGCUGUCAAGAGUCAGCCAGCUGCAGUAUCAGCCCCUGAAGAGGACGAGCUAGCAGUGCUGAUGUCAGGGAACUUUCCACUCCUCAAACCGACAGGAACAGGACCGUGAGCACAAAACGUGAACACGGACCAGAACGAGUUGGCAUGCAGGACUAGGUUGCCUUGACGACUCUGAGUUCUGACAGGGAAAUACAAUGAGUUUUAUGUGGACAGAGUUCCACGGUCUAUUGCAAAAUCAAUGUGCUGUUUGAAUGAAUCAUCACUUCCAACCAUUGGUCAUUGGUGUCUGAAUCUUGAUUGCAGAUGAAGCACUGAGUCAUGACUGUAAAAUGCCACAGUAUUUAUGAAAACCAAGAAGGUUUUUUAUUUAUCCUGACUAGCUAAAUCAAGGCCUGGAAUGAUGAUAUGUCCCAG
rnacentral:lncRNA from 1 species